UAUAUGGUGACGGGCGGGCGUAACCUUUUACCACUGCUCCUGGAGGCGUCAAGGGCGUCAUGCCCUCUGUCAUGAUUGGAUGGGGAUCCCAAGUUCAGUCCCAUCUUCGCUUUGCUCCCCCUCACUGCAGUUUCUCUCCUAUCUGUGGAGAUUUACUAUGUCUCUCUACAGCUAUUCUACUUGAUAUUGUUCUUGGAGCAUCAAAGGCAAUUGCUUUACUGGUUAACAUGUGUAGGAGGGUUUGUGGUUUAGCGUUAUUAUACCUCUGUAAAUACAUGUAUAGGAGGAUUCUUGGAGCUUUGCACAAUCAGUAAGGCCAUCAAAGCUAAUUGCCUUGCUGGUCAACAUGUAUAGGAGGACCUCUGUACAUACAUGUUUGCUCUUUGCUAUAAAAGAAGUCUCCUUUGGUGGAUUGAGAAGAUUGUGACUUUGAAACCUUUUAGAUGUACAGAAAGAAAGCAGAUUGUGGUCAACUGGGAGAACGACGAGUCUCGGAGGAGGACAAGUGGCGGGCGUAGCCGGUGGUCAAAUUUAUGGUAUGGGGAGAGUGGUUUCACAUAUUGGACUUGUACAGAAAGAGAGAACAUUGUGUUUCUUUUUGGAGGAUAAAUUUUGCCAGCAAUUGUGGUGCUUGCAAGCAGAAAACUUGUUCA